rnacentral:rRNA from 1 species
CCACGGAUACGAUGUCGACUUGGAGGUUGUGCCCUUGAGGCGUGGCUUCCGGAGCUAACGCGUUAAGUCGACCGCCUGGGGAGUACGGCCGCAAGGUUAAAACUCAAAUGAAUUGACGGGGGCCCGCACAAGCGGUGGAGCAUGUGGUUUAAUUCGAUGCAACGCGAAGAACCUUACCUGGUCUUGACAUCCACAGAACUUUCCAGAGAUGGAUUGGUGCCUUCGGGAACUGUGAGACAGGUGCUGCAUGGCUGUCGUCAGCUCGUGUUGUGAAAUGUUGGGUUAAGUCCCGCAACGAGCGCAACCCUUAUCCUUUGUUGCCAGCGGUCCGGCCGGGAACUCAAAGGAGACUGCCAGUGAUAAACUGGAGGAAGGUGGGGAUGACGUCAAGUCAUCAUGGCCCUUACGACCAGGGCUACACACGUGCUACAAUGGCGCAUACAAAGAGAAGCGACCUCGCGAGAGCAGGCGGACCUCAUAAAGUGCGUCGUAGUCCGGAUUGGAGUCUGCAACUCGACUCCAUGAAGUCGGAAUCGCUAGCAAUCGUGGAUCAGGAUGCCACGGUGAAUACGUUCCCGGGCCUUGUACACACCGCCCGUCACACCAUGGGAGUGGGUUGCAAAAGAAGUAGGUAGCUUAACCUUCGGGAGGGCGCUUACCACUUUGUGAUUCAUGACUGGGGUGAAGUCGUAAAAGGGUUAACCCAUGG